GAUGAACGCUGGCGGCGUGCCUAAUACAUGCAAGUCGAGCGAACAGACGAGGAGCUUGCUCCUCUGACGUUAGCGGCGGACGGGUGAGUAACACGUGGAUAACCUACCUAUAAGACUGGAAUAACUUCGGGAAACCGGAGCUAAUACCGGAUAACAUGUUGAACCGCAUGGUUCAACAGUGAAAGACGGUCUUGCUGUCACUUAUAGAUGGAUCCGCGCCGCAUUAGCUAGUUGGUAAGGUAACGGCUUACCAAGGCAACGAUGCGUAGCCGACCUGAGAGGGUGAUCGGCCACACUGGAACUGAGACACGGUCCAGACUCCUACGGGAGGCAGCAGUAGGGAAUCUUCCGCAAUGGGCGAAAGCCUGACGGAGCAACGCCGCGUGAGUGAAGAAGGUCUUCGGAUCGUAAAACUCUGUUAUUAGGGAAGAACAAAUGUGUAAGUAACUAUGCACGUCUUGACGGUACCUAAUCAGAAAGCCACGGCUAACUACGUG
rnacentral:rRNA from 1 species